rnacentral:lncRNA from 1 species
CAAAUAUCAUCUUGUAAAGUGAAAAACUGCAUGUUUGUAAGAAACAAAUCGAUAAUUUAAAAAUGUUUUAACUUCCAUUCGUUGCUUCCAGCUAAAAUGCAAGUCCUUUAUCCAUAAUCUUGUAGCCCAACAGUCCAAAACAGUUCUAAACUAAUAUGUUGGUGGAUUUUGAGGUGAGGGGGCAACAGGGGAUGGACUUUUUCACUGGAUAAAGCGUUAUGGAUUAUUGACUCAUCUUUUGGUCAGAAGCAAUGGUUUAAAGUUAAAAAGCCUUAUUUUUAUUUUUUUAUUUGUUUCCAACAAACAUUCAGUUUUUCACCCCAUAAGACAUUAAUUGAUGGACUGGAGUCAUGUGGAUUAUUUGUGGAUUAUUUUUUAUAGCAGCUGUUUGGACUCUCAUCCUGAUGGCACCCAUUCACCGCAGGGAUCCACUGAUGAACAAGUGAUGUAAUUUUUCAAAAUAUGUUCCAAUGAGCUCAUCUACAUAUUAGAUUGCCUGUGGGUGAGUAAAUUUCAGCAAAUUUUCAUUUUUGGGGUGAACUAUUCCUUUAAUACAUGUGUCGUAUUACAUAUGCAGCAUUUGGGAGGAAAAGCAAUCUCCUCGAGGGCAUGAAUAUCAUGGAAAUUUUUUUGAUAUAAGGCAAUUCUGCUUCACAAUGUUGCACUACUGUGAUGUCUGAAUAUGACUGUCUUUGUCUUACUAGGCCUCCGUGUCAUGCUCAUUUGCUGCAUGAGUCAAACUGCAUCACACCAUGAUCCUGAGACACAGUUAGCAUUGCCAGUGCAAUUGUGUACAUGCCUCAACAGUUUGCACCUGACAACCCUUCGUUACUAACACUUGUCCUGUGGAUAAGUUUUACAUUGCAUUUAUUUCUGCAGAUUUUCUGACUGACAGCUCUUAGAAUGGCACCUUACAUUGAGUGAUGGGCCAUUUUUCCAGAGCCAGACGAAACAGAUGAAACACAAAAAGAUUUCUCAAAAACUGAGCUCAAACAAUAAUUCGGCCCCCCUGCAGUACUGCUGUGGACCCCCUGUUGAAGACCCCUGCUGUAUUGUUACAUUUUCAGUUGGAUUUAGGAAAAAUAUUGAAAACAAUGUAGCCGACCACAGACAAAGAGAGCGAUUCAGAAACAAAGAUAUUAAAUUGGCUCAGGUGUUUGUGUGGUUCAGAACUCUCUGAUGUUCUGUGUCUCUGACUCAAGCUGAGUUUUCAUAUACUUUGGUCUGAAAUGUAUCAAAUUUGUGUUGUGAAGAUACACCGAUACUCAUAAAGGAGAUCAUGACUCUCAUGCCUUGAGAGACAGAUAGCAGUCUUGAAUCCUCUGUGAUAAAUGAUGCAUUUAUCAUUAAAAAUGAUAAAUGCAUUUAUUAUAUUUUUCAUGGAUGCAAGAAAAAAAAUUAUUGAGGCAAAUAUCUCAUGAAGUCUUUGGCUCCCUGCAAGUGCUCCUGAAGAAAUAUGCCAUGUUAAAUGUACCAUUAUGUGUGUGAAAUAUAAAGAAACAGGGCUGAGAUUAGAAAUGGCUAGUGACCUGGGAAUAAUCCACAUUAGAUACAUUGACUGUUACACGUCUAAACUCAUUUUAUUCUUCUCAAUGCAUCUUAAGUUCAUGUGUAGUAUGAGCCUCAUGUUUCAAACCCAUAGAGGUUAGAAAAUGUGUGUUAUGUAGAAUGAACACGGUUUUAUUAUUAUUAUUAUUUUAUUUUUUUUCAAAAGUUUGGAGUCAGUAAGAUUUUUAGGAAGAAAUUAAUCAAAACUGACAGUAAAGACUCCAUUUACUAUUGUUUUUAUUUUAAUUAUUAUACUUUAUCACCUGAAAAAAAUCUAUUUCAAAUAAAUGCCCUUUUUUUUACUUUCUAUUCCUUGAAGAAUCCUAAAUAAUAUCACAGUUUCCACAAAACUAUUAAGCAGAACAACUGUAAUAAGAAAUGUUUCUUGAGCACCAGAUCAGCAUAUUGGAAUAAUUUUCUACAGGAUCAUGUGACACUGAAGACUGGAAUAAUUGCUGCUCAAAAUUCAGCUUUGCAUCACAGGAUUUUUUUUU